GGUGACUGUAGCUCAGUUGGUAGAGCCCUGGAUUGUGAUUCCAGUCGUCGUGGGUUCAAGUCCCAUCAGUCACCCCAU
rnacentral:tRNA from 1 species